AUUGAACGCUGGCGGCAGGCCUAACACAUGCAAGUCGAGCGGAUGAAGGGAGCUUGCUCCUGGAUUCAGCGGCGGACGGGUGAGUAAUGCCUAGGAAUCUGCCUGGUAGUGGGGGAUAACGUCCGGAAACGGGCGCUAAUACCGCAUACGUCCUGAGGGAGAAAGUGGGGGAUCUUCGGACCUCACGCUAUCAGAUGAGCCUAGGUCGGAUUAGCUAGUUGGUGGGGUAAAGGCCUACCAAGGCGACGAUCCGUAACUGGUCUGAGAGGAUGAUCAGUCACACUGGAACUGAGACACGGUCCAGACUCCUACGGGAGGCAGCAGUGGGGAAUAUUGGACAAUGGGCGAAAGCCUGUUCCGGCCAUGCCGCGUGUGUGAAGAAGGUCUUCGGAUUGUAAAGCACUUUAAGUUGGGAGGAAGGGCAGUAAGUUAAUACCUUGCUGUUUUGACGUUACCAACAGAAUAAGCACCGGCUAACUUCGUG
rnacentral:rRNA from 1 species